CAAAAUCAAACCCAAAAUAAGGACAGAACUGUCCAGACUGCCAAACAUGUGAAGACUCAAAGGACUGUGACCUUAAACAGAAAGGUCGACUGGGAGGAUAGGAAGAAUGUCUAUGUUCAUUCAGUGACCCAACACCUGACUAAGAGUCCAGGAGCAAAUCAUGUAGAACCUGGUGUCUAACAGAGGGAUGGGGAACAACCUGACCUUUUCAAUAAUUCAGUAUUUCAGUAGUAUUUUAUCUAUUUUUCUCUUCCCUUUUGCUUAUCUCUCAACACUGAUAUUUAUUUUAAUGUUUUGCUGAUUGUUGAAUGUACUGAUGAUUGUCUGUCUUGCAAUGAGUUGCACUAUGAGAGGUGAGUAAAAUAUUUAAUUGAUUGAUUGAAAGCUGAGUGCUACAAGAAACGGUAGAGAACUACACUGAGAGAACUUUUUAUGGCAUUUUUCACUCUAAUGCAGUGCUUAGAUCACUGAUGUGAGUGCAGGGAUACAGGACAACACCUAAAGUCAACAUCAUGGUAAUUUAGUUUUUUGUAACCAUAAAUGGCAUUUGGGUUUUUCCAUCUAAAGUCACUGGGGGCCUUUUGCAUGUGCAUCUCCGAUUUGCUGAUAAAACUAUGGCUGUUUAAAGUGGUAUCUGUGAAACUUUACCUUAAAAUAUCAACUACUUUCUAUAUUUAAAAAGUUUCUUUCAAAAGUGCUGUUUGACCCACUUUCAGUAAGUUUUCUCUGGCAUUGAAAUUUGAGGCUGUGUUUGAACAAAUAAAUCUCAGGACUUUGUGUUUUGUGAAGGUGUGAUGUCUGAGCUGCUGAACCUGAUGAACCAUGUGGCCGAACAGACAACCGGCUCCAGUGGCACACAGUGGCAGCAUCCAUCUGACCUCACACGCAGAAAUUACCAAGAACGUUUUGGCAAUGCAGCACCAAGGAUGACUCUUCAGUACUGGCUGGCCAAGAAUUCUGCAACACACAAGCGCUUUGCCAAAGUGCCCAAUGUUUGGAGAGGACCCCAGUUUCCUUAAACCAACACUUGUAGAUGGACUGAAAAAUGCACUUGUGCAUAUGCAAAAAAAAAAAGUCCCAACAUUGUAAUUAUCCCUAUGCUUCAUUUAAAUGAUUGAACUUUUAUAUUUUGUUGUGGUGUUUGUUUUUCUUGUUUUGGUACUUUGAAUGUUGUUUUUUUGUUUGCCUUUCACCUAUGCUUGGACUUUAAAUAUAAAAUUUAAUGUUUGCACUGCUUUUUUUGUUAAUUUGAAUGCUGCUCUGAUUUUCCUUCAACUACGCUAUUACCUUUUAUAUAAAAGCUGAUGCAUGUUUUAAGAAUUUCGAUGUUGAUGGACUUUAAUGAAAAAAGACUGAAGUGUUUCAGGAGUCCAUAAUGACUUCAUUGAAUAAUUGUAACUGUGCCUUUAAUGAAGUGUGUUUUGUAGUCCCAUUAAUGCUUUUUCAACUUGAAUUCUACUUUUUUGAUGUUGUCAUGUUUGCUCUGCAUAUGAUCAGUGCAGUGACUUUCUCAUCUGGUCCUGUUGAUUAUUGCCUCUGGGGCUUAUAAUGAUCUCACAUCUGUUUCUGUAGAUGACAGUGACAGCAGCCAGCAGAAGUUAAAAAUAUCAAACUUGAACACAGUUAAUAGCCAUUUAGAAUACUUUGUAACAGUGGAUUGAUUGUGCUUCCUUGGAUGUAUUGUAAUGGUGUUUUUGUGGAGCAGUGAUUCCCAACCUUAACCUGAAAGCUGAGGCUACCCCACCAGAAAACAACACAUCAUGUUUUCUGGCAUUUCCCCAGACUUUUUCUGUCAUAGACUGCAACAAGGGCUAGAAUCUUGAAAAUGGCUAUAGAAACAGGAAGCCAGAUGGUUUUAGUUGUGAUGUGGGAGGGAUAGAACUUUCUCUGUAUUUGAGGACAAUCACUUGUGACCAAUCUGCAUCAUCUGGUGAAGUUUUCAUAUCCAUUUAUGUACUUAAACCGUAAGGUAGUGACCAAUGGCUCCACAAGGAUUAAGUGGAUGUUUUCUGAAUUAUGGCCUUGAAGCUCAAGCACAUCCUGACUAUAAUUUGCUGCCUUAUUCAGUGUUUUCUUUCUAAAGUUCUAAAAAAGCUGUUCUCAACAGCCAAUGCGCUGAUUUGUGAGUGAGUUACUUAUGAUGUAAGUUUUUACCCCAGAUUUCAUAUAGUUUUUUAUGAACCUUCAGUUGAAUGUAGGUGAUAAAUCUGCAAACCGUUCACACCUUCUCAUUAAUAUAUAAAUGAAAACUGAUGUCGGAGGUGAUUGUGUUGUUGCAUUACAUUUAUGAGGAUUGCUCUCAUUGUCAACUUUGACAUUUUGUUUCUGUUUAGACUUAAAAAUUAAUAAAGUUGACAUUUCUGUGAAGAAUAAAGUAGUUUCAAAUAGUUAAACUGUAAACGCUUUGCCUCAACAGCUUCAAGUUGUGACACUGUUAUUUUAUUGUAUUGUCUUUGUCAGAAUUCAGGAAGAUUUCUGCAAAUCCCUGGACGUUUUUCAGGUGGUUGUUGCUGACAAUAAUAAAGUUACACAAGUUUA